CGCCAUUGGAUCGGCGACGGGAAACCCGCCCUCGCUAGCACCCAGGAGCCGGAAAAUGCUGACGAUUAGAUCCCUUCCCACGGGAGCCGCUGGAGAAGAAAGGUUGAAUCAGACCUCUUCGCGAACGAAUAAUUGCAAAGGAGGGCUGGCUUCAUUAGGGUAAAUAACUGCCAAUAAUAGGGGUGAUUCGGUACACCUGUAGCGGAACUUUUGUAGAUAUCAAAGAGCCUCGUUAGUUCUACUGUCAAAUUUCCAUGUCAUCCAUGUGUCCCUCGAUUGAGUGCUGAAGCAGUCGUAUGGACCAACGCUGAAUGGAGCCGGUGGACAACGUCUUAUCCGUUUCUUUUAAGAACUACCCACGUGAGAUGUAAUUUAGACAAGGAAACCUGACCACUUGGGUUAUUUUUCUAGUGUUCUAUUUGUUAACCAUCUUAGAAAAUUUUGCUUGGCUGCGCAUUCCAAGAUCCGAUCAAAUGGCUGUCAAUGGCGGGACCCAUCCGUCCGACAAUAUGAUGCAUGUUAUGGACCUGGGCGACCUAAAGCCACUCCGACGUGCUUUGAUUCGGCUCGAAGUUCCCGACAAUGUUGGUUCUCACGUCGGUUCCAAAUUAAAGCUCUGCUGUGACGUCAGUAGCCUCGUGUCAGUGGUCCUGCUGCCAAGGCUUAGGUUCCGUGGGGUCGACAGAUCCUUGUUUUUGUUCGAGCUGAUGUGACUGCAUGGGGAUGAGCCCAUGAGAGGGGACCACGCUCUGUUGAUUGCAUGCAAUGCUACAACAAGUUUAAAUCACUGCUCAAGGGAUCAUGUAGGCGUGAUAGCCUCUUCUCGGUUGUACGUGUAGCUGGAACUAGCCGUAUGUACGAUCGCCUCAUCACCGGUGGGUCAAUCCGCGUUUGAUUGUGUGGUGAACGAAGCCAACAGGACAGACUGAUGCAGGAUUCAAUAUCGGUAUCGCGGCGAUGGGGUGUUGGAGGAUGGUACAAAUCUGUUAGGCCCUGGAGCAAAGUUUCCGUCUAGAAUAUUAUUAUGCGUGGGUAUAUUAGCUUAGGUUACGUAAAUAGACAAUUUUUAAUUUUUCUCGUCUCCCACUUUCUUUCUUUUCCAAGUUGCUAUUAGAUAUUUCUUGCUUUUGAUCAGGGGUUACUCGGUGGUGUCUAGGUUAAUAGCAGUAUUAUUUAGUGCCACGCCAAAAGAAAGAAGCGUUAUCAAAUGAUAGCAACAUUCUUGGGGAGGGUCUCGAGCAUAGUUAUAUAGAUUGGAUCGUAUCACAUGAUGAGAUAUGAGAAAUUGAGAAUUGGAUCAUUCAUAAAUGUAGCUCAUUUAUGAUAUUCGUCUCCUUAGAUCGAAUGAUCCGAUCGAUUUUUGGAUAGCUAGUUUGAACCAAGUUCCUCUGGAUUUGUAAUAUAUUUAAAAUUAAUUAACUAUCCUUCAAUUAAAAUUUAGACUAUUUAAUUUUAGGGGCAUUACAAUAAAUUUAAAAUUAGGAUUAAGGGUUAAGAAAUUAUUCGGUCUGUUUUGACCACUCUUCUUUCCCUAUCUUCGUUUAGUGUUCUUUUUCAAAUCGUCCAACUCUCUCUAUCUUUUUCUUUCACAUAUUUCUCACUAUUUCCUCUCGCUUAUCUUUCUUAUUUCACAUAUUUCUCACUAUUUCCUCUCGCUUAUCUUUCUUAUGUAAUCACUUCCAUUGGUCCCCGUUUUCAUUAUUAUUCCUCCUUGUUAUAUUUGGUUACAAUGCAUGAUGCAUGUCAUGAUCCGAUCUGAUAGGAUAACAAACAUGUUAACUUCAUUAAAUUUGAAUCAUUGGCUUAAAAUGCUUAAUCUCAAGUUAACUUUUGAUGUAGGAUUAAAUUAAGAUAUCAUAAUUUUCCUAAUUUAAGGGUUUGACAUUCUCAUCAAAGCCCAAUAUAACCCAUAAUCAUA